GCCAAAAACCUAGCCCCUCCAACUCCAAAAGAACCACAAAACUAAAUUUAUUAACCAAAACAUUUUUACAUCUUAGUAAAGGCGAUUGAAAAAAUUAUAGGAGCUACACUAAUAGUACCGCAAGGGAAAGGUGAAAUAAAAUGAAAUAAGUAUUAAGCACUAAAAAGUAGAGACUAACCCUCGUACCUUUUGCAUCAUGGUUUAACUAGUCUAAUCAAGCAAAACGACUUAUAGUUUGACUUCCCGAAACUAAGCGAGCUACUUCAGGGCAGCUUACUGAGCAAACCCAUCUCUGUUGCAAAAGAGUGGGAAGACCCUUAAGUAGGGGUGACAGACCUAACGAGCUUAGUGAUAGCUGGUUACUCAAGAAAAGGAUUUUAGUCCAACCUAAAGACUUAUUAAUUUUAUAAUAUAAUAAAACCGCUUUAGAGCAAUUCAAAUAAGGUACAGCCUAUUUGAAACAGGAUACAACCUCAACCAAAGGGUAAUGAAUUAUACACACAACCAAGUAGGCCUAAAAGCAGCCAUCUUUAAAAUAGCGUCAAAGCUUAAUUGUUAACACUACUAAUUCCAAAAAUAAUCCAGAACCCUCCUCCACUAUUGAGUAAUUCUAUACACCUAUAGAAAAUUUUAUGUUAAAACUAGUAACAAGAAGAAGACCUUCUCUUAAAUGCAAGUGUAAAUCAAAAAGGACCAACCAAUGAUUAUUAACAUUUAUGAACAAAAAUUAGCAACCAAACAAGAAAACCCUACUUUUCUUUAUGUUAAUCUAACACAAGAGCAUUACAAGAAAGAUUAAAAGAAAAAGAAGGAACUCGGCAAACAUUAACCUCGCCUGUUUACCAAAAACAUCGCCUCUUGAACAAAUAUAAGAGGUCCAGCCUGCCCAGUGACUCUGUUCAACGGCCGCGGUAUCCUAACCGUGCGAAGGUAGCGUAAUCACUUGUUCUUUAAAUAAGGACUAGUAUGAAUGGCACCACGAAGGUUAUACUGUCUCCUUUUUCAAAUCAGUGAAACUAAUCUCCCCGUGAAGAAGCGGGGAUAAACCUAUAAGACGAGAAGACCCUAUGGAGCUUUAAACUAAAUAACAAUUGCUUAUAUAUUCUUACAUUUCAGAAUAAUUAAUACACAGUAUAGCCUUAUGAUUUUUAGUUUUAGGUUGGGGUGACCGCGGAGCAAAACAAAACCUCCACAUUGAACGGAAUUCCAUUUCCUGAGCAAAGAACCACAACUCUAUGCACCAAUAAAUUGACAUUAAUUGACCCAAUAUUUUGAUCAAUGAACCAAGUUACCCUAGGGAUAACAGCGCAAUCCGCCUCAAGAGCCCCUAUCGACAGGCGGGUUUACGACCUCGAUGUUGGAUCAGGGUACCCCGGUGGUGCAGCCGCUACCAAAGGUUCGUUUGUUCAACGAUUAAAACCCU
rnacentral:rRNA from 1 species